rnacentral:lncRNA from 1 species
UAUGAAGAACAGCAAACAAAAAUCAAGGAAUAGCAGAGUAAACUAGGGGCUUCCCAGGUGCUGCUACCGGUAAAGAAUCCAACAGCCAAUGGAGGAGACACAGAAGAAAGCCAGAAAGAAAUCAAACGGUUGCUUCAAAAAAAUCUGUAUUAUUCUAAACUUUGACAUAACUGAGGAUGAAACUGAGAAAAAUACUUCAGACUGAAUCUUCUUUGGAAAGGCACACUGCUUUUGUUGGUAAUGGAAAACUAAUGGCUGUAAGGGCCAAAUAUGACUCCUAGGUUCGGAGAGAAUAGAAAGAAAAGUCUUCACUUAAAGGUAAGAUUGUGCUUCACCCAGUUUUCAUGCAUCUUUAGAGCCUACCUUUCUUGAAG